GAGGAUUUCUGUCAAGUGAUACACGCAUCAUAUCUGAGGCUGCUCCUAAUUCAGGAAUCAAGGUUCAAUAACUUAUCGGCGUGUUUGGUUUGGACAAAAAGUGUGGCUUCCGAAUACAGCGACUUCCGAAACCGUAGCCAACUUCGGUUUGCCUCGCCAUGUAUUCCAUAACAGUGCUUUCUGAUAUGGCACUUCGCAGAGUUGAAAUAACCGCACGAACCAGCCGGGUUAAAAUCGGGACUCGAUUCCACAAACUAAACAAAGGAGCUAUUACGUAAAAAUAUUCGGAAGCAACGCUUCCGGAUACACUAAACUGAAUACGUUACGUUGCCCGAACCGAACAUGUUGUAUAUGUUGUUAUCAGCAGUUCUAUUUAUUGUUUAUGUGGCAUGAGAAUUUCGUAUGGCUUGUGGAAACAACAUAAUAAGACCCGUUAAACUGCUGCAGGUUAUCAACCAAAAGGAAGCAUCUAGCAACAAGCUUUUCAAAGAUAAAGAGCUCCCCUCGUGUUGGGGAUAGGUGAGUUAAGUUCUGAAUUCACAGAUAUUUUUCGUAGGGCAUUUGCUUCAAGAGUGCUUCCUCAUGUUGUAAACUAGUAUGUAUCAUCCCUGCUUCUUUAUUUUUGUACCAUCGGUAACACAUGAUAUUUUUUACUUACAACUAAAUAUUGUAGAUUGCAGCUAAAAGACUAUUGUAGAUUGGGCAUUAAACAUGUAAAGGUUAAGUACUUAAGUUGCUAUAUAGGCUUCCUGGUACUGGAAAGACCCUGUUGAAUGGAAAGGAUCCCAAGGUACGGUUAUUCUUACUGAGCAUCGAGUAUAGCUUUGUUACUUGUCUAAAUCUAUUGAUUUGAAUCUGUUUAUGUUUGGUCAUGCGAAAUCCUAUUGACUGAAAUCAUGCAGAUGUACAUAACUGUUAAUGUAAAAAAUGAAAAAUGAAAUCAUGCAGAUGGUGCAUAACUGUUAAUCAAGGAGUGGUAGUAUUCAACCACACACAGGAUGUGGUGUGGAUGAUUUGCAAAAAAUGAAAAAUGAAGGAUCUUUCAGUGACAUAGCCAACUAUCUUCUAUAGCAUAUUGCUUAGGUGUGAGGGGAGAUCAUUAGAAAUUAAACUGCUUGGAUGUGCGCAUGUUUUGGCAAAGACUGGGCGUAAAGGAACCAGCAGCGAUUCUUGGUCUGUCACCCCGCCAGUUUAUUGUGUAAUAACUGUAAAUGUCAAGACUUGGAUGGGGUAUUUUGCUGAAUUAAUGGCCAGUCCAUUUCACAAAACAAUAUCAGUCAAUUUCAGGUUUUGGCAUCGACUGUAACUACGAAUCUUCCUCCUUUGAAGUUGGAUACUAACGAGCGACUGGAUGAUUAUGCCAAGGUGAAUUUUUUUGGCACACAGUUCCGGUAGGUGUGUUCUGCUCAUAUUAUUGUUAAAUAAGUAGCAUCCUUGCAUUCUAUGUGGUAAAAAAAAUUGCAUGUCAUUCACCGAUUUCAAGAGAUUGUGGAUGGUCCAGAAGUUUUCUCAUAUCUAUGAAGGCAGACGCAAGAUGAAGUCGUGUGCUUUUACAGGGUCCCUCUUUUUGCAUUGUAUGGCCAUCUGAUUUCCAAAAGCUCCCUGAUUCGAAGGUUGGCUAGGCUUGGCAGCCUUUACUGUCUUUAUGAGUGCCACCAUACAAGUCACACUUCAGAAUUUUUUAAGAAGAGUCCAAGAAACUCUAAAACUUUGUCGUUGAGGCUAAGAAGAAUAUGCUUUGCGUCAUACCGGCACUUGACAAAAGGAUGCUACACAAGGUUUUUUUUUGGUUCAUCAACUUGCUUGAUGACAUUGAGGCAAAUCAGCUUGAUGAAUGGAACACAUUCCAAAAUAAACGGCUAAAAUUUACCUUUGACAAGUACGUGGAUUUUUUUCUUACACCCUUUGGCAGAUUUGAAAAGAUAGAAAUGCGUGUUUUUUAGCAUAAAUGCUUAGGGGUUUAUGACAGGAUCUGUAGGAUCCAGGAGAUAAUGAGAUUGAGAAAGCUGGCUUUUGUCAGAGGUGUUCAGGAUGAUGGUGGCUAAUCUUAACUAUUGUAUUCUGUAACUGGGCUUCGGCCAGAACCUUGUGUCUUUCUCUUCUUCUAAUAGAUACAACACCUGCCUUUUUUUUAUUUAUUCUAGAAAAGGAGGUUAUCCCCCGGCCUCUGCAUUCGAAAGAUGCAUGCGGCCCUAUUAUUAAACAAGUUCAGCAAAAUACAAAGUCUGUAAUCCGGAGUACAGCUCACAAAGGGAGCACAAAUAAAAAAGACUAAGCAAAUAAUCCUGCAAAUACCAUAAGUUUUGAUUCAUAAACAGUAUGGAGUACAACAGAAAAACUCGACAAUCUGCAGGAGCAUAAAGUUCUGAAGUAAAAUGAACAAAGCAUCAACUAUCCUAAACUGCAGUAGUCCUAUCCCCUAUGGGAAGAUGCAGCGAGCAGGUACGAGGUCUGGCGUGCAAGCACCGGAUGACACGCUGUAUUGUUUGGUGUCUGGUUGGCUCAACUUCCACGAAUACUUUUUUGUGGUUAUGUAAGAGCAUA